UCUCUCUUCUUUCAACAACGAAAUUGCAGAUCUCUUUCUCCUUCCUCAACAGAUCACUCUCUUGUCGUUAGUACAAAGAGUUUUUUUUUUUUUUUUUUUUUUUUUUUUUUUAAACAAAACCAAGAGGCUACCGAGGCCGCCUAGCCCGAGUGCCGCCUAGCAGCCACCUAGCCCGUGUUUUAGAACACUGUCCUCAACUCAACUCCUCGUCCGACGAUCAUCUUUUUUGCAUCAGAAAAUAUAAAAUAUACAUUAGUGAACAAACAAAAUGAAUAAUCCAAGAAUUAGAAUUCUUGCUGAAAAAAAAAAGAAUUAGAAAAUUCAAAUUCAAGCAUGUAAGACACAAUAAUUUGAUAAUCUCAUCACUACGAGCACAAUAAUUCGGUAAUCUUACAACUGAAACAAAAGAAUUUGAAUGGCAUAAUUCUAAUGAAUUGUGAGCAAUUUUUUAUUUUUUUUAUUUUUUUUAUUUUUUUUUUAUGAUUGUGGAAGUAGCAUUGGUAUUAACAAUUUAAGCAUCUUUUUCUAACAGCAUGGAAGUUAGCCCCAUUUUCUCAACUUGUAAUAUGUUAAUCCCACACCGUCCACUGCAAGAAAGGGCAAAGUGAAGACAGAAUAAAUACGGUUUUACGGCUCGUUACUAAGCAUACCUUUCUCGGCCUUUUGGCUAAGAUCAAGUGUAGUAUCUGUUCUUAUCAGUUUAAUAUCUGAUACGUGGAUCAAUGGUCCACACGAUAUUAAAUUAAUUUUUUAAGGAGGAGAGUCCAUUGCAGUAGCUUGCUACUGGGUCUCUCGCGUGUCGCCCAAGCGUUGCACUACAGCCCGGGCCUGGCGCACUCCACCAAAUCUAGUUUCAAUUUGUACAGUUUUAUGCCCUGUUAAACUUCUAAUUCAAUUACAUGAUUCUAGUUCAAGUGGUGGAGGAAAAGCAUGAGCCCUGCGACUCCACCAAAUCUAGGGUUUGAGACUUUGAGUAAGACUUGGAUGCCGAUUUCGUAGAGCGAGUGAACAGAUUGGAGAGAUCUUUUUUCGCUAAGAAAAGGAGAGAUUUGAUGUUGGGAUGGAGGCAAAGCCUAGAUUUGAACUUUGGGAUAUAUUCUCAUGUCAUCCAAUAUUCCAUAACACACCGCACUACUCUGGUAAAUUUGAGUAGACGUACCUGGAGGGAGAGUCCAGAGUGGGAGGAGUAGGACUGUUUGAAAGCAUGGAGUAUCCUUGUCCUUGUCAUUGUUGGAUUUCAGUGGGGGUUGAUCGGAAUUGAAUUCAGUUUUCUUGGAGUUGAAGGAAGUGAUUCCAUGUUCCUUUCUGUAUAUUUUGACAAUAGAAAUGUUUAAGAUGUCGUCCAUCGAUCGUGUUGGUUCAACACUACUUACGGGUGUGGGGUAUCAAAAUUUAUAUGGACUUUUGUUGAGUUUUUGAAGUAAUAUACUUUCACGGAUUUAGUAGGCUUUUACUGACUAUUAUAAGCUCUAUAAAAAUUUCAAACUUUUAAUGAUA